rnacentral:rRNA from 1 species
GUCCACGCCGUAAACGAUGAUCACUCGCUGUUAGCGAUACACAGUUAGCGGCUAAGCAAAAGCAUUAAGUGAUCCACCUGGGGAGUACGGCCGCAAGGCUGAAACUCAAAGGAAUUGACGGGGGCCCGCACAAGCGGAGGAACAUGUGGUUUAAUUCGAUGAUACGCGAGGAACCUUACCUGGGCUUAAAUGUAGAGUGCAUGGGGUAGAAAUAUCCCUUUCCUUCGGGACUCUUUGCAAGGUGCUGCAUGGUUGUCGU